UCCCAUGUGGCUCAGUUGGUAGCACAUGGUGCUUGCAACACUAGCGUCGUGGGUUCGAUUCCCACAGUGGAAA
rnacentral:tRNA from 1 species